rnacentral:rRNA from 1 species
UUGCCUCAGUAACGGCGAGUGAAGCGGCAACAGCUCAAAUUUGAAAUCUGGCUCCUUCGGGGCCCGAGUUGUAAUUUGCAGAGGAUGCGUCGGGUACGGGUGCCUUCCGAGUUCCCUGGAACGGGACGCCAUAGAGGGUGAGAGCCCCGUCUGGUAGGACACCCAGCCCGUGUGACGCUCCCUCGACGAGUCGAGUAGUUUGGGAAUGCUGCUCUAACGGGAGGUAUACUCCUUCCAAGGCUAAAUACCGGCUGGAGACCGAUAGCGCACAAGUAGAGUGAUCGAAAGAUGAAAAGCACUUUGAAAAGAGAGUCAAACAGCACGUGAAAUUGUUAAAAGGGAAGCGCUCGCUACCAGACUUGGGUUCGGCGGUUCAACCGGGGCCACGCCCCGGGGCAUUCCGCCGGCCCAGGCCAGCAUCAGCUUUCCGUCGGGGGUAAAGGCGUCGGGAAUGUGGCUCCCCUUCGGGGGAGUGUUAUAGCCCGUCGUGUCAUACCCUUCGGGGGGCUGAGGUACGCGCUUCUGCAAGGAUGCUGGCGUAAUGGUAGCUAGUGACCCGUCUUGAAACACGGACCAAGGAGUCAACCUUAUGUGCGAGUGCCCGGGCGUAAAACCCCAGCGCGGAAUGAAAGUGAACGUAGGUGAGAGCUUCGGCGCAUCACCGACCGAUCCUGAUGUCCUCGGACGGAUUUGAGUGAGAGCAUAUAGGGUUGGACCCGAAAGAAGAUGAACUAUGCGUGUGUAGGGUGAAGCCAGAGGAAACUCUGGUGGAGGCUCGCAGCGGUUCUGACGUGCAAAUCGAUCGUCAAACAUGCGCAUGGGGGCGAAAGACUAAUCGAAUCUUCUGGUAGCUGGUUUCCGCCGAAGUUUCCCUCAGGAUAGCAGUGUUGAUCCCAGUUUUAUGAGGUAAAGCGAAUGAUUAGGGACUCGGGGGCGCUAUAUUGCCUUCAUCCAUUCUCAAACUUUAAAUAUGUAAGAAGUCCCCGUUUCUUAACUGAACGCGGACACUGGAAUGUCACAACACUAGUGGGCCAUUUUUGGUAAGCAGAACUGGCGAUGCGGGAUGAACCGAACGCGAGGUUAAGGUGCCGGAGUGGACGCUCAUCAGACACCA